GAUGAAGAACGCAGCGAAAUGCGAUAAGUAAUGUGAAUUGCAGAAUUCAGUGAAUCAUCGAAUCUUUGAACGCACAUUGCGCCCGCCAGCAUUCUGGCGGGCAUGCCUGUUCGAGCGUCAUUUCAACCCUCGCAGCCCAUCUGGGCAGCGGUGUUGGGGACCGGCACCACCGGCGAAGCCCUUAGGGGCCCAGCCGGCGCCGCCCCCGAAAUACAGUGGCGGUCUCGCCGCAGCCUCUCAUGCGCAGUAGUUUGCACAACUCGCACCGGGAGCGCGGCGCGUCCACGUCCGUAAAACACCCAACUUCUGAAAUGUUGACCUCGGAUCAGGUAGGAAUACCCGCUGAACUUAAGCAUAUCAAUAAGCGGAGGA
rnacentral:misc_RNA from 1 species